GGUUCCAGGCUCUGAGCUGACAGCACAGAGCCUGAUGUGGGGCUCGAAUCCACCAACCUCCAACCUCGGAGAUCAUGACCUGAGCCGAAGUCAGACACUUCACCGACUGAGCCACCCAGGCGCCGCUCCCAUGCCAGGGUUUCUUCUCCAAGGUCACCUCUCCCCACUCCUCACAGAGAUCCCUCAUCUACUUGCAGGACCACUUCAGACCAGAAACAGAAACUCGCCAGUCCCAAACAGAGGUCCUCCCACUUAACGCAACACAGUGAUGCCCCAGCCCCACCCAUAAAAACCAUAGGUGUCCACAGAGACCCCAAAUCCUGCGUGGAGAAUUCUCUACAGCCUUGGAGACCCUCUACCCCACAGAGACCCCCCACAUAGCAUUAUUCCCACAGAGGGUCCCAGCUCCACACAGCAACUCAGCUUUGCACAGACACCCUCUCAAUUUCCUAAUCCCUCAGCUGGAACUCAGAAUCUUAAAUAUCCCCGCCUUGUCCACAGAAAUUUCAAGCCCUCCUGCAGAGAUCCCCUCAUCUUCACACACACACACACACACACACACACACACACACACACACACACACUUUCCCCAAUCCUAAAAUACUAAGACACUAGUGACCAACAUGCUCAGAAACGCAGGCUUUUGCCUUCUGUCUCAUGUGCUCAGGACACCUGCCCUAGAUGUUAGACAUCCUGUAAAUAUAUAUAAAGUAUCUUUACUGCACAGACUGUCUUCUGCCCACCCCCCCCCCCUUGCCAGGGCCAGCCAUCAGCCACACACACACCAUCACACUAGUCACUGCUACAUACUCUUAUACUCCCCAACACCCUCAACAACAACCCCCUUAUAUCAUUAUAGUCACCAAAUAAAACUCAAGUACAGAUACCCCAUCAGGCACAGCCUUUCCCAGUCUACACAUACACAUGGGUCCUCUGCUACACACACACAUUCAUAAACCCCACCCCACCCCAGACACUUCCUGCACGCAUGUGACUCUAUGCCCUCAGGUUCUGCAGCAUUAUGGACACCUCACAUACAUACACACAGCAACACACGCCACAAUCCCACGGGCUACCUGUAUCUCACAAAUUUCCUCUCCCAGAACCGCCCAUCCCCCCGAUUUCUCAACAGAGGCACUGAGCACCCACGUUAUGGAGAGUGCAACCGUGACAUGGAAUGCACCUGCCUUUGUCACUUGCGUGGUCCCUCUCUGGGGACCGUCCUUGAUCCUGGCACAGCAGCCCUGACCUGCAGCAUGAUAAACAUCAGAGUCGAGGCCUGAAGAAUCAGCAGCUGUCCUCAUCCUUCCACGACAUCUUAAGUCCCCGCAAAGAUCCCGGCCCGAGGCCAGAGCGCAAGCAGGACAAAGCUGAAAGCAAGCCCACGCCCCC